rnacentral:rRNA from 1 species
UUACGGUAAGACCCUUACCCUGCCCUGACCUUUCGAGGACUUUCCAGAGAAGGAUAGGUGCCUUUGGGAACUUGAAAACAGGUGCUCCAUUGCUGUAGUCAGGUCGUGUUCUGAGGUGGUGGGUUAAGUCCCUCAACGAGGCCAACCCUUCUCCCUUGGUCCCAACACGUAAUGGUGGGACAUUUUAAGGAGCCGGCGGGGGCCAACCGGGAGGAAGGGGGGGAGGAGGCCAAGUCUUCAUGGCCCUUAGGCCAAGGGUUCCCCCGUUCUUCAAAGGUAGGGACAGAGGGCUGCAAACCGGGGACGGUAAACCAAUUCCCAAAAACCCGAUUCAAUUCCGGAUGGCAUUCGCCACUUGGCUCCCGGGAAUUGGGAACCAAAAGUAAUCCAGAACAGCAAUGACGCGGGAAUACGAGAUU